UGUCGAAAGCGCUGUAAAUUUUGACUUUUUCCGUCUUGUGUUAGGGGCUGGUCGUCGCUGCAUGCGAGUACAAACAGAAGUGGAGAAGAUUCGCAGAAGUAGCACCAGAGGUGCAAGUUGGGACAAAUCAAACAUCAGGAUCUAUUUUUUGAGUCAUUUAGUGGCUUUAUGAUUAGAUGUCCACUGUCCAUGACCAGACAAAACUUGGCGUACCAGGGCUGAGCGAGGUUAGGCGCCCCGACGUCGUCCCGAUUGUGACGACGUUGGCCGUCUUUUUCGUAGUCGGCUACGAAAAGUUGAGCAUAAAACGCUACCGACGACCGACAAAGAUAGAGAAGCCAAGGAAGAGAAAAGCAUCGAAUUCGUUUGCCGGGCGGAUUGUGCUGUCUUGCAUGCAACAGUUGCGACCCCGAGGGAAGAUUUUCUCAAUCUGCGCUUUAAGUAAAGAGGCAUACGCAGAAGUCCCUUAUAAUAAAUGGUUUCCAUCGAGCUUCCACUGAUCUGGCGUUGCAAGAGCUUGUGUGGUAGGUCUUCUACACCCAUCAUGAUUCUCGGACUCUAAUUGAUGUGGUUAGUUGGUAAUAGUACAAUACUAAGCAUUAAAAUUAAACUGGGAGAAAGGCUUCAAGAGGAGACUUGGAAAUUUCUAGCGGGACGAAACAGAUAAAUCGCCUGAGAAUAGACGACGUCCGUAGAGCGUAACGGCAACAGUACUAAUUCCCUAGUAGUAUUCGAAAAACAUGCUGAAGAGAACGACCAUUAUUUUGCGAACGCUUAAGAAACGUUAGGGCUAGAGGUCACGCAAGGCUUCACUAGAGAAAUUACGAAGUAAAAUGACACUUGCAUCUACCACAAAUCAACUUCGUGCUCCUUUCGAGGGAAGGCACAUUUAGAGUUUACUAUAGUGAUGGUCGGGAUUGUCUUAUGAAGGUGUCCCUUAACCUCCAAAAAAAAGUCUAGGAAUCGUCUCUAAAAAGAAAACUAUAUAAUUAAAUUGCUUGGCAGCUAUAACGGAAAUGGGAAAUCAUCUUCAGAUGGAAAAAAUAAAAAGAUAACAAUGCAAUUAAAAAAAACAAAAUUUUAUAUAAAAGCCUUAUGUUAGGUGUUUCCGUGUAUCAUUAACCAUAACAAAAAAAAGCCAUUGUUACUUUUCAAAUUAAAUGAUUGUUUUUAGGAGCAGAAACUAGUUACAAAACAAACCCGCAACUUCGUUAAUCUCAAGCAAAAGAUCUAGCUAUUCUAUUAUUUGACUUGAUUUUUUGCUGACUUGGUAAAUCCAAACAUUUAAAUUAAAUUUGUUGCAAUUUGCUUUCUUAAUAAUCACACCGAUUCACAUUACUUGAUCAUAUUCUCAAAUUUUCAACGAUGUUGGCGAAACGCAAAUUUUAUUUGAUUAUCAUUUGCUUACACCUGAUACACCAAAACACACCGAUAAUCGUUUUAGUUUCCAUGUAGCAAUAUUCUUACGGUUCUUGAAGUUCUGCCGAAAAGCAGGCUCGUCCUUCAAAGAGUAAUUCAUCCGACCUGUCGCGAAUAUCGGCCACUCGAACAAACUUACAAUGCAAAAGGUAGAUCGCGCACGACCAAUUGGUCCUUCAUCUCAAUGAGGUUUGCAAUCACUCUCCGUUUGCACUUGUUGCACAUAACACGGAGUUGACCGUGUUCUUCCUGUUGAACGACAGCACAUCCCACGCAAUAGGCGUGUCCGCAGGCAGCAAUAUAUAGACACGUGGACAAAACAUUACAUGCAUCGCAUGGUGUUAGUCGGCGGCCGACACUGUGUUCUUCCUGUUGAACGACAGCACAUCCCACGCAAUAGGCGUGUCCGCAGGCAGCAAUAUAUAGACACGUGGACAAAACAUAUUACAUGCAUCGCAUGGUGUUUGUCGGCGGCCGACGCUGCCCACUUUUGGGUGGCUUUUUUCGGUUGAGGCAGGCAUAGCGGCGCCAGGCAGGUGCUUGCUGGCCUGCAA